GCAGUCGCACGAAGAACGUUCACCUUCGGGUGAAUCAGUAAAGUGGCGCACGGGNGNAGAUAACGCGCUGGAUAAUCUGCCUUCAAGACGGGAAUAACAUUGCGAAAGCGAUGCUAAUACCGGAUAAGCUCACGAUUUGAUUGGUUGUGGGAAAAGAUGGCCUAGUCUAUGCUAUCGCUUGAAGAUGAGUCCGCGUACCAUUAGCUUGUUGGUAGGGUAAUGGCCUACCAAGGCAGCGAUGGUUAGCUGGCCUGAGAGGGCGGCCAGCCACACUGGGACUGAGACACGGCCCAGACUCCUACGGGAGGCAGCAGUGGGGAAUAUUGCGCAAUGGGGGAAACCCUGACGCAGCGACGCCGUGUGAGUGAUGAAGGUUUUCGGAUCGUAAAGCUCUGCCAGGUGGGAAGAAUAAGGUCUGUGAAAAUAUUGCAGUCCGAUGACGGUACCACCAGAGGAAGCACCGGCUAACUCCGUGCCAGCAGCCGCGGUAAUACGGAGGGUGCAAGCGUUGUUCGG
rnacentral:rRNA from 1 species